rnacentral:rRNA from 1 species
GUGUCAGCCGCCGCGGUAAUACGUAGGGUGCGAGCGUUGUCCGGAAUUAUUGGGCGUAAAGAGCUCGUAGGCGGUUUGUUGCGUCGGCCGUGAAAACUAGCAGCUUAACUGUUGGCUUGCGGUCGAUACGGGCAGACUUGAGUUCGGUAGGGGAGACUGGAAUUCCUGGUGUAGCGGUGAAAUGCGCAGAUAUCAGGAGGAACACCGGUGGCGAAGGCGGGUCUCUGGGCCGAUACUGACGCUGAGGAGCGAAAGCGUGGGGAGCGAACAGGAUUAGAUACCCCCGUAGUCC